UAAAUAUCAUGUAAUUAAUACUUUUUUUUUUACUUUUAAGAGUUUAAAAACAAUAGCCAAUAAAUUAUAGCUCAAAUGAUAUAGUCUUUCCAUACACAUUUAAGAAAUUGUGGAUUCGAAUCUCUCUAUCUUUGGUUAAAAAAAAUUUAAAAAUAAUAAAUAAUUUAUAUUUUCGACACGACACACGUAUACACUCGUUUGACACACGACACACAUAUACACUCGUGGGACACACAUAUCUCUCGUAUCCAAAAUAUCUUGUCCAAAAAAAAUAAAAAAUUGCCAAACACGGGUGGACAUGGCCCACUUGGUUAAAAAUGUAAAUUUUCCUGAUUUUACAAAGCUACAGACCCAAAUUUAACUCUAAUUUUUUUCCCUUCCCUCGAAACCCAGCCUGUGUCAUGUUCACCCACUCACUCUCAACCUCUACUCUCACUGUCGUUACAUCCGUUUGUCGCCGAUGUAGAAUGCUUGUCCCUCGUUUGCUCCCUGGCGUCAAUCUUAAUCUCGUUCACCAUUGGUCUCGUGUUUGUCGCGCUACUCCCGAGCUCAUUUCUGCUGGAACUGUGCUCGUCGCCGCUGGGUCGUGCUUGUCGCGGCUGGGGUCCCGCUUGUUGCCGCUGGGGUCGUGCUCGCCGCUGGAACCGUGCUCGUCGCCGAUGGAACACUUCCGGUGAACGCGGAUCGGAUCCAAUAUCCACAAUUUUUAAGCUAGGAUCUAAUCCGGAUCGGAUGUCGGAUAUAUCUGCAAAAUACAAAAAUAUUUUUAAAAUUUUAUUUUUUAUUAAAAAAUAUCAAUAAAAU